UCCCCUUCUUCUGACACUCACCCUAAGUGCAGCAUGCUGUGUAGGUGUCCGGCGAGGAAGCAUGUGGAGCGCGACCCCGCCGACCCGUCGAUGCUCAUCGUCACCUUGGAGGGCUAGCACAGCCA
rnacentral:sRNA from 1 species